CCAAAUCCCUACUCUCCUAACCCCUUCUCCAACAAUCGACGCUCUCAAACCCUCAUCUCCCAAAACCCUUCUCUCCUCCCUACAAAAACCGACCGACCCUCUCUCUCUCUCUCUCUCUCUCUCUCUCUCUCUCUUUGUUUAUUGAGGUUUGGUGGUGUUUUCAUAGGGUGUAUAGCAAUGCAAAGGGAAAAUAACAGGAGAGGAAGUACAAGAGGUGAGGAUUUUUCUUCUCUUCUUCCAUAUGUAGCCAUGGCGAGUGCUUUUACGAACAAGCUAUUGAAGUCGAAAGAACAAGCAGAAGAAUACCCCUUUUUUAUCAUGGAAGAACUCAACCCUAAAAAUUUCGGCUACAUCACGGUACACCGUGCUUCCAAUCAUAGCCCAAAUCAUCAAGGACAUGCCUCAACAAUUGAAAGUGAGGCUUCUAGAGGAAGUGGGAGAGCAUGAUAGAGAACGGAUAUUGUCUGGUGCAACAACAUAAAGGAUGACAACUAUUGAGGAAAUGGUGGGCAUGUAUGUGUUGUGUGGACAAUGAACAACACUGAUAAGAGCACUUUCCAAGCUCAUUAUUUAUCUUAACAACCUAGAUCUG